UACGAAGGGGGCUAGCGUUGCUCGGAAUCACUGGGCGUAAAGGGUGCGUAGGCGGGGCUUUAAGUCAGGGGUGAAAUCCUGGAGCUCAACUCCAGAACUGCCUUUGAUACUGGUGAGCUUGAGUCCGGGAGAGGUGAGUGGAACUGCGAGUGUAGAGGUGAAAUUCGUAGAUAUUCGCAAGAACACCAGUGGCGAAGGCGGCUCACUGGCCCGGUACUGACGCUGAGGUGCGAAAGCGUGGGGAGCAAACAGG
rnacentral:rRNA from 1 species